AUGGCUGGUGUUUCAACAUCCUCAGCUUGGAACAGAAAAAGGUCAGAGCGAGUCUUCUGGCACUCACAGACCUGCACCAGGCCCCGCCAAGAGAAGAUUGAUGCCAUAGUACAUUUUCCCCAGUCAAGAGAAGGAAAUGGAGCUCCGAAUCCGAGACCUACUAUGUUUGUCAGAGGGAUCCGUCUCCCAAAGCGUGGCCGCUCCAUUGUUUCUGCUCCGCCGAGACGCAACCCCUGCCCGGCCGCGAACGGGGAGGUGCGAGCAGGGAGCGCAAAUAGACGCGAAACUUACCUACGGAUUGCAAAGCAGCCUUGCAGCAGCAAAAUAAUAAGGAAGAAGGCAGGCAAAAUCCUCUUUCCCCAACUGAUUUGCAGCUCUACUCGGUGUCUUUUAAGGCGGGGAUUCUCGUUUUAAUCUUCCUGAAUACCAGGCACUCGGAAACCCUUCCACUCUGGAACCUGAAAGCUGGAGAAUAUCUAUACUCCCUUCGGUGUUUUUGUAUUAUUAAAUAGGGGAAAACCACCCUGGACCCAACACACUCUCAAGCAUGAGGUGUCUCCGUCUCUGUCGUCUUCACGAGAGAAUUUUUACGAGCAUGGAAGGAACUACCGGGCGGGCAGGGGGAUUACACGGGAACGCCGAGACAUCCUGCUGCUCCGUUAUUGCACUUUAGCCCCCCACCCCCCUCCAUUUAUUGCCACCACCACCAGUCUCGGGGCCGCUGUUAUUUUCAGAGCCCAGAGCUCUCGCCACCCAGGUAGGAGCGGGGUUCUCCCAGGGGUCCCCGCUCAGCCGGGGAAACCGGGCGGGCGGCGGUGCCCGGCGGGGCGGACCCAGGAGGCGGCCCCGCCGAGGGCGGGGGGCGGUCAGGGGCCGGGGCCCCCCCGCCGCCCGGAGCGCGGCCCCCGGCGCUAACAAUAGGGCGUGUUUUUUUUGCUGUUUUUUCUUCCCCUGUGCUCCUUAGGAAAUCUAGCCCGAUUUCCAGGGAGAAAAUAAGAAAAACCGUCCUUGUCUGACGAGCACCAAUCUGCUAAAAAACAUCUCCCUCGACUUCUCUUCCCCUUGAUAAAACACUUCCAGGACAAUCAAUAUUUUAUGAUGAGUUGUUAAUAAGCCUAAUAUAUUCAUCUCUGCUCCAACGGGGCUUGUUAGAUUAUGCAAUUAAGAUAAGCAAUUUAAACAGCACUGUGUAGCUUCUCGCUGGUCACAUUCGUCUUGUUGUUGGAGGAGGAGAACGAUCGGGACUGUAAAGGGAUGUCGGAUCGCUCGGGGAAAGGAGAAGAUUGUCUAUUUUUUUUAAUUUUUUUUUUUUCUGCUGCGCGCCGACGGAACGGAGCGCUACCGCCGCUGUCCCCGCCAGUCCCCCCGCGGGGCUGCCCCCGUCCGCCGCCGCUGGACGCGCUGAUUUGCGCGGGGUCGGCGGCAGCGGGGCUGCACCGCC
rnacentral:lncRNA from 13 species